CAGCCGCGGUAACACCGGCAGCUCUAGUGGUAGCAAUUUUAUGGGCCUAAAGCGUCCGUAGCCGGUUUAAUAAGUCUCUGGUGAAAUCCUGCAGCUUAACUGUGGGAAUUGCUGGAGAUACUAUUAGACUUGAGACCGGGAGAGGUUAGAGGUACUCCCAGGGUAGAGGUGAAAUUCUGUAAUCCUGGGAGGACCGCCUGUUGCGAAGGCGUCUAACUGGAACGGUUCUGACGGUGAGGGACGAAAGUUAGGGGCGCGAACCGGAUUAGAUACCCGGGUAGUCCUAACUGUAAACGAUGCGGACUUGGUGUUGGGUGGCUUUGAGCUGCUUCAGUGCCGAAGGGAAGCUGUUAAGUCCGCCGCCUGGGAAGUACGGUCGCAAGACUGAAACUUAAGGAAUUGGCGGGGGAGCACCACAACGCGUGGAGCCUGCCGGUUUAAUUGGAUUCAACGCCGGACAUCUCACCAGAGGCGACAGCUGUAUGAUAGCCAGGUUGAUGACUUUGCUUGACUAGCUGAGAAGUGGUGCAUGG
rnacentral:rRNA from 1 species